rnacentral:rRNA from 1 species
UACGGGGGAGCAAACGUUGUUCGGAAUCACUGGGCGUAAAGGGCGUGUAGGCGGCUGAAUAAGUGGGAUGUUAAAUCCCCGGGCUCAACCUGGGAACUGCAUUCAAAACUGACAAGCUAGAGUAUGGUAGAGGGUGGUGGAAUUUCCUGUGUAGCGGUGAAAUGCGUAGAUAUAGGAAGGAACACCAGUGGCGAAGGCGACCACCUGGACUGAUACUGACACUGAGGUGCGAAAGCGUGGGGAGCAAACAGG